rnacentral:rRNA from 1 species
UACGGGGGGGGCAAGCGUUGUUCGGAAUUACUGGGCGUAAAGGGCUCGUAGGCGGCCAACUAAGUCAAACGUGAAAUCCCUCGGCUUAACCGGGGAACUGCGUCUGAUACUGGAUGGCUUGAGUUUGGGAGAGGGAUGCGGAAUUCCAGGUGUAGCGGUGGAAUGCGUAGAGAUCCGGAAGAACACCGGUGGCGAAGGCGGCCUGCUGGGCAGUGGCUGACGCUGAGGCGCGACAGCGUGGGGAGCAAACAGG